rnacentral:rRNA from 1 species
UGACGCAGCGACGCCGCGUGGGGAUGAAGGUCUUCGGAUUGUAAACCCCUUCGGGAGGGAAGAUGGAAUGGGGCAACCCAUUUGGACGGUACCUCCAGAAGCAGCCACGGCUAACUUCGUGCCAGCAGCCGCGGUAAUACGAAGGUGGCAAGCGUUAUUCGGAUUUACUGGGCGUACAGGGAGCGUAGGCGGUUCGGUAAGCCCUUUGUGAAAUCUUCAGGCUUAACCUGGAACAGUCGGAGGGGACUGCCGGGCUAGAGGACGGGAGAGGAGCGCGGAAUUCCCGGUGUAGCGGUGAAAUGCGUAGAGAUCGGGAGGAAGGCCGGUGGCGAAGGCGGCGCUCUGGAACGUUUCUGACGCUGAGGCUCGAAAGCGUGGGGAGCAAACAGGAUUAGAUACCCUGGUAGUCCACGCCUUAAACUAUGAAUACUAAGUGUCGGCGGGUUACCGCCGGUGCCGCAGCUAACGCAUUAAGUAUUCCGCCUGGGAAGUACGGCCGCAAGGUUG